rnacentral:rRNA from 1 species
GUGUCAGCCGCCGCGGUAAUACGGAGGGUGCAAGCGUUAAUCGGAAUUACUGGGCGUAAAGCGCACGCAGGCGGUUUGUUAAGUCAGAUGUGAAAUCCCCGGGCUCAACCUGGGAACUGCAUUUGAAACUGGCAAGCUUGAGUCUUGUAGAGGGGGGUAGAAUUCCAGGUGUAGCGGUGAAAUGCGUAGAGAUCUGGAGGAAUACCGGUGGCGAAGGCGGCCCCCUGGACAAAGACUGACGCUCAGGUGCGAAAGCGUGGUGAGCAAACAGGAUUAGAUACCCGUGUAGUCC